GACGAACGCUGGCGGCGUGCUUAACACAUGCAAGUCGAACGAUGAAGCUCUUUCGGGGGUGGAUUAGUGGCGAACGGGUGAGUAACACGUGGGCAAUCUGCCCUGCACUUCGGGACAAGCCUUGGAAACGGGGUCUAAUACCGGAUAUGACUGCCUGGGGCAUCUUGGGUGGUGGAAAGCUUUUGCGGUGCAGGAUGGGCCCGCGGCCUAUCAGCUUGUUGGUGGGGUGAUGGCCUACCAAGGCGACGACGGGUAGCCGGCCUGAGAGGGCGACCGGCCACACCGGGACUGAGACACGGCCCAGACUCCUACGGGAGGCAGCAGUGGGGAAUAUUGCACAAUGGGCGGAAGCCUGAUGCAACGACGCCGCGUGAGGGAUGACGGCCUUCGGGUUGUAAACCUCUUUCAGCAGGGAAGAAGCUUUCGGGUGACGGUACCUGCAGAAGAAGCACCGGCUAACUACGUGCCAGCCGCCGCGGUAAAAC
rnacentral:rRNA from 1 species